GAAGGACUUAACAAUGACUAAUUUUUGACAUGCAUAGUGCAACUGAUGAAGAAGUCCACAGCUUUACUGCUGAUAUGAAAAUUAUCAAGACAAUCGCCUGAUGAGAACGAGAGCAAGAGUACAAAACACCAACAUCGAAAAACUUUAUUCAUACGUUAAAAGAUUACAGACAGCAUGGAAUGGAUGAAAAUCCUUUGCGGAGUUAUUUUGAUGCAGAUAAUGAUGACGCAUGCUUGGCUUGGCAUGUGGCGAAAAAUUCGUAGACAUGUACACAAGCAUAUCUUGACAAUAAAACCACAGCCAAGGCUAAUUUACCCCGUCAAAAACUCAAGUUACUGCAGUGAAUCAGAAAUUAUAGCUGUCAUUUCAAAAUACAGUCGCAACAAGCGCAAGAUGAAACAAUGGCCGUAUCAAUGCUCGUAUCCAAGCAUUGUCAACCAAAAGGGCAGCUAUGUAUUUAUGUAUGAUAUUUACAAAUGUUGUCAGCGAUGUGAAUUUCCAGCGUACGACAGUUGCAUUAAAAAGAACCGGCGCUCUCCGUCAUGGCGAUGCCCCAGUGACGGAAUUCAUUGCAUUGUUGAAUGCAUCAUAACGUAUGGACCACAGAAAACACGCAUCAUUAAAAAACCUCAUUUCAGUUUCCGCCGUAGCAACAGAAAGGGUAGGAGGCACACAAGAAGAAAAGUCCCCAAGUUGAAAUGUGAAAGACUUGAAAGACGACCAAAUGGAAAACCUGUAUACGUAGAUUAUGCAUCAAGUUGAUUGUGUAAGAUACAAGUAAGGUUCAUAUAGAGCAUGCGCAAGUCCUGAACCUUAUGAAAUUAUAUUACAUAUCAAUUCGGUAAGCAUCAUACAAAAUAAUCAGCGAUAGCCAAACCUUUAAUAAAUCUAACAGCACACUGUACCUUAUGAAAAUUUCAACAUAACCAGUCAUUACGCUGUGAAGUAUUAAAGUAAAAGUUAAAUACACUUUGAAACUUACAGAAAGAUUCAAAAGGUAUACAAGUCAUUUAAUACAUGUUUGAACACUC